rnacentral:misc_RNA from 1 species
GAUGAAGAACGUAGCGAAAUGCGAUAAGUAGUGUGAAUUGCAGAAUUCAGUGAAUCAUCGAAUCUUUGAACGCACAUUGCGCCUCCUGGUAUUCCGGGAGGCAUGCCUGUUCGAGCGUCAUCAAAAACCUCAACCCAUGAUUUAUUGUGAGUUGGUUCUGCAUUGGACUCCUUGUGGGUCCUUUGCGAAAUCCAAUGGCGAAGAGCCACGCAACUAAAGCGUAGUAUAACUAUUUCGUUAUGGAAGCGUGGGUGCCUCUGCCGUAACCCCCAAUUUCUUAGUUUUUGACCUCGGAUCAGGUAGGGAUACCCGCUGAACUUAAGCAUAUCAAUAAGCGGAGGA